rnacentral:misc_RNA from 1 species
UCCGGUUUAUCACGCGGCAGUCUCGCUAGAGUCCCCAACUUAAUGAUGGUAACUAGCGACAGGGGUUGCGCUCGUUGCCGGACUUAACCGAACACCUCACAGCACGAGCUGACGACAGCCAUGCAGCACCUGUCAUCGGGCUCCCUCGUGAGAGGGCACCCUCACGUUUCCGUGAGGUUCCCGAGAUGUCAAGCCUGGGUAAGGUUCUGCGCGUUGCUUCGAAUUAAACCACAUGCUCCGCUGCUUGUGCGGGUCCCCGUCAAUUCCUUUGAGUUUUAGCCUUGCGGCCGUACUCCCCAGGCGGGGCACUUAAUGCGUUAGCUCCGGCACGGGAGGAGUCGACACCUCCCACACCUAGUGCCCAUCGUUUACGGCGUGGACUAC